rnacentral:lncRNA from 1 species
UUUAGAUAUUUACUGUGGGCCAAACAUUACAUAGGCAACUUAAAUAUAAAAACCAGUAAGAAAUGAUACCUACCUGAAAGUGAUCCAAAGUAGGGGAAACAGGGGGAUGUGGAUGGGUCAGUUGGUUAAGCAUUUGCCUUUGGCUCAAGUCAUGAUCCCCAGGUCCUAGGAUCCAGCCCCAUAUCCGGCUCCCUGUUCAGGGAGGAGGCUGCAUCUUCUUCUCUCAUUCCUCCCACUUAUGCUGUCUGGCUCUCUCUCUCUUUGUCAUUAAAUAAACAAAAUCUUUAAAAACACAAAACAAAGCAAAGUAGUGGAAACAGACAUUUAAAAAAUACUGUGGUUAAGAGUUGUCACACAGGUAAGUACAGAGCACUCUGGGGCACAUAGCUCAGACUGGAGGACUCAUGCAGGUUUCCCAAAAGAGAUUAUUAAAAUGAACCUUGUAGAAUAACUAGAAGUUUGAUAGAUAAAAGUCCUUUUUGGUGCAAAGAUUUUUUUUCUAAACAUGCAGACCAGGAUGCAUAUGGACAUUUGACCUGAGUGUGAACCCAACAGGUAUUCAGAACUACAGUAUGGCUGGAACCUUGUAGGAAAGGGGAAGAUAACACUGGAGAGGCAAGUCAGAUCAGGUAAUGAAGAACACUGAACACCAUGCUGAAGAGUUAAAAUUUCAAGUGGAGGAUAAAACACAAGCGGAUUUACAUUGAAGAAGUAUGAUUCACAAAAGGGAUUUUGCCAGACUUCUUGGAAUCCCUGGGUGGCGCAGCGGUUUAGCGCCUGCCUUUGGCCCGGGGCGUGAUCCUGGAGACCCGGGAUCGAAUCCCGCGUCGGGCUCCUGGUGCAUGGAGCCUGCUUCUCCCUCUGCCUGUGUCUCUGCUUCUCUCUCUCUCUCUGUGUGACUAUCAUAAAUAAAUAAAAAUUUAAAAAAAGAACAUUUAAAAAAAAGGAAAUAUAUUAAAUUAAAUGAGACUAAUAUAUAGUACUGACUUACGUGGUCCAUAAAAAUGAAAUUUCAUUCUUAAGUUGUUUUUUUUCAAUGCAGCAAUGUCUGAUUUUGCCUGAUGCAAUAAGUAUUGCCACUGAUUCAUAUUAGCAUUUUGCUAUAGUUCAUUGCCAAAAUGUAGUCACUUGGCCCUAACUAGCUGCGAGGAAGGAAGAAUGUCCUUACUUUUUUCCUAAAUCACAAUGUAUCCAAUGAACAUUAAGAUUGUUAUUACUAAGACAGUAAGGGUGCAAUAGAUAUCAGAAUACUACUAGGGAUCUCCACAUUAGUGCCUUCACUUUAUUUUCUAAGCUAUUGCAAUUAUUUUCCUUAGUUUCCAAGAAUUUGUUCAGGCCCCAGCCCUCCAGUUUUUUUCCUGGUUUCUACUCCAUUACCUCAACCUGUUUUUUUCUGUUUCAGAAGAGAACUUCUGGUGAUUCUUUUGGACAUCUGCCUACUUCUGUUUUGGCUUCUUCCCAAGACUGCCUCUCAAGUCUCAACUUGGCUCAGCCACUUAGGCCUAUAGUCAAGUGAUCUAGGCCCCCAACCCUAACUCAGUCAGUUACUAUUCAGACCUCAACUUAACACUCUGACUCCCUCCCUUUCCAAGAGGAAAGAUUAUCUACUAAUCAUCUAAGCUUUUAUAUUGUUAACUAGAGUCUUCUUUCUUAAGCCUUUUCUAAAUUUUUCACAGGGAGAGGGUUUUAC